UACGGCCACAUUAUAUGGAAACACCGGUCCCCGUAAGCAUUACCGAAGUUAAGCACCAUUGAGCCUGGCUAGUACCUAGAUGGGUGACCGCUUGGGAGUACUAUGAGUU